UUUCCGUAGGUGAACCUGCGGAAGGAUCAUUAAUGUGUUUGGGCCUCACGGCUCUUCAUUCCGACGCUGUGCGCCUUCGGGCUGCACGCUGAGGGAGCAUAGAUCCACCCCUGUGCACACACACGGUGGCGGGCUGGGUAACGGCUUGCCGAUGAUCUUUACACACGUCUAAAAGUCUUUGUAUGUUUAUUUGAGAUAAAAACACAACUUUCAGCAACGGAUCUCUUGGCUCUC
rnacentral:misc_RNA from 1 species